rnacentral:rRNA from 1 species
GCUCCUAUGAAGUUAGCGGCGGACGGGUGAGUAACACGUGGGUAACCUGCCCAUAAGACUGGGAUAACUCCGGGAAACCGGGGCUAAUACCGGAUAACAUUUUGAACUGCAUGGUUCGAAAUUGAAAGGCGGCUUCGGCUGUCACUUAUGGAUGGACCCGCGUCGCAUUAGCUAGUUGGUGAGGUAACGGCUCACCAAGGCAACGAUGCGUAGCCGACCUGAGAGGGUGAUCGGCCACACUGGGACUGAGACACGGCCCAGACUCCUACGGGAGGCAGCAGUAGGGAAUCUUCCGCAAUGGACGAAAGUCUGACGGAGCAACGCCGCGUGAGUGAUGAAGGCUUUCGGGUCGUAAAACUCUGUUGUUAGGGAAGAACAAGUGCUAGUUGAAUAAGCUGGCACCUUGACGGUACCUAACCAGAAAGCCACGGCUAACUACGUGCCAGCAGCCGCGGUAAUACGUAGGUGGCAAGCGUUAUCCGGAAUUAUUGGGCGUAAAGCGCGCGCAGGUGGUUUCUUAAGUCUGAUGUGAAAGCCCACGGCUCAACCGUGGAGGGUCAUUGGAAACUGGGAGACUUGAGUGCAGAAGAGGAAAGUGGAAUUCCAUGUGUAGCGGUGAAAUGCGUAGAGAUAUGGAGGAACACCAGUGGCGAAGGCGACUUUCUGGUCUGUAACUGACACUGAGGCGCGAAAGCGUGGGGAGCAAAACAGGAUUAGAUACCCUGGUAGUCCACGCCGUAAACGAUGAGUGCUAAGUGUUAGAGGGUUUCCGCCCUUUAGUGCUGAAGUUAACGCAUUAAGCACUCCGCCUGGGGAGUACGGCCGCAAGGCUGAAACUCAAAGGAAAUUGACGGGGGGGCCCGCACAAGCGGUGGAGCAUGUGGUUUAA